rnacentral:lncRNA from 10 species
AAGCCCCACCCUGCCUUUCUGUCCUCAGAUGGCUUGGUCUGUCUGUCUUACAGACCAGGAGGCAGCCAGGCAUUGGCGUAGAUAUUAGAAAAUAAAAUUGCCAGUCUGGGUCCUGCUCAGGUGAGAGUGGUUUAACCCAGGCUCCUGCCCCGCCCAAGCAGACAGUGCGGGGAAGAAGUGCCUGAGAAAGUCCGUCCUGCAACCUGUCAUUCCACCUUCAAACUGUCACUCCUCCAAGCCUCAGGGAUUCUGGUCUCCAGGAGUUCCCAUUCAAAUAUGCAUCACCCUAGGGUAGGAGAGGCGGUCGUCUGAAGAUUGAUGUGUGCAAGAUGACGAAACAGCUGUGCAGAUGUGACAAGUCAAGGACCCUGAGAUGGAGAGCUGAGCCUGGAUUAUCAGGUGGGCCCAAUGCACUCAUAGGGUCUUUAUGAGUGGGAGGCAAGGGAGUGAGUCAGAGAAGGAGACGCGGUGACAGAUGCAGGCAUCAGAGUGAUUCCACGUGAAAAGGACUGGACCAGCCAUUGCUGGCUGUGCAGAUGGAGGAAGGGGCCAUGAGCCAAGGAAUGACGGCGGCCUCCAAAAGCUGAAAAAAGCAAGGAAAUGGAUUCCCCCUAGAACCAUCCAGGAGGAACACUGCCCAGUUGAUGCCUUGAUUUUAGCCCAGUGACACCCUUUUUGGACUCUAGCCUCCAGAACUGUAAAAUAAUAAAUGUGCAUGUUUUAAGCCUCUAAACUUGUGGUGGUUUGUGACAGCAGUGACAGGGAACUAAUACUCAUGGUAUGUGCAGGGAUGCCCAUGUGCCCCGCAGGGAGGGGUGACUGUGGGAGCACAGAAGAGCCCGGGGGUCAGGGGAGCUGCCUGGAGAAGAUGCCUGGGCUGAGCACUGAAGGGUGAGUAUCUCCUGGGCAAGCCCAGAGGAAGGGCGUGCCAAGGAGGCAAAAGAGG